GAUGAACGCUGGCGGCGUGCCUAAUACAUGCAAGUCGAGCGAACGGACGAGAAGCUUGCUUCUCUGAUGUUAGCGGCGGACGGGUGAGUAACACGUGGAUAACCUACCUAUAAGACUGGGAUAACUUCGGGAAACCGGAGCUAAUACCGGCUAAUAUUUUGAACCGCAUGGUUCAAAAGUGAAAGACGGUCUUGCUGUCACUUAUAGAUGGAUCUGCGCUGCAUUAGCUAGUUGGUAAGGUAACGGCUUACCAAGGCAACGAUGCAUAGCCGACCUGAGAGGGUGAUCGGCCACACGGGAACUGAGACACGGUCCAGACUCCUACGGGAGGCAGCAGUAGGGAAUCUUCCGCAAAGGGCGAAAGCCUGACGGAGCAACGCCGCGUGAGUGAUGAAGGUCUUCGGAUCGUAAAACUCUGUUAUUAGGGAAGAACAUAUGUGUAAGUAACUGUGCACAUCUUGACGGUACCUAAUCAGAAAGCCACGGCUAACUACGUG
rnacentral:rRNA from 1 species